CAUUCCCUGACCUCAUUUAAGGGUCAGCAGUAAAGGCAAAGGUUUCUCUCUAGAGAUCCCUGUGUACCUGAGGCUCUCUAAAGGUCCCAUACCCACUGUUUGGUGAAAGGGAAACCCAAAUGCUCUCCAACAGGAAUCCAGCAUAGACAACUAGGAUGCAGAAUGUACAUCAGCACGCAGAUGGAGUAAGAGACUCAUACCCAGAAAAAGCCCUGGUGAAAGUGACUGCUUUCAGAACUCCUAUGGAUGAGUUUCAGAAGAACAGAAUGUAGAAAACAAAGGAUGAAAUUAAAAAGGUAAAAAUUUACUGCAGGAUAAAUUCUCCUUUGGGAAAUGAAGUUUUGUUAACAACGGAACCUUCUAAAACAUCCACUGGUUUUCAUGAAAUGCUGCAAUGGAAAGAAUUGUCAAGUGCUUUAAUAAUGUCAGUGUGAUUAAGUCUGAUCCUUUAUAGAAUAAAUUUUCAGUGUUUGAAACUCAAAGCUAUUUAUUAGUUAAUUAUCUUAGGGAAUUUCAUUUGUUUCCUGAAACAGCAUCUCCUCCAGAAACUUCCAUUUUAAGAAAUUAUAAAAAGUUCCCAUUUAGAAUGAGAGCAACUUUUAGAAUCAGAAUUUUCUAUAAGUUGUGAUUGUUCAGCGGCUGCAAACAAUUGGAAUGAUGCAAUCACUGAAGUAACUCGAGAGCUUCAUUGGAGAUGAUAAAGAUGUUUAUAAAUUAAUUCUAAGACUGGAGAACAAACAGUCACAUUCUUCCAUCACUUCUGACAGUGUAAGAUCUGGUGGGAAUAAUAAUGCUAAUGGUUUUUUGCUCUAAGUCUGAUACUGAAUUGUAAUGUCCUGAUGUGAACUGAUACUGAUGUCCAUAUUUCAAAGAGAUGAGUGCAUUUGAAAUGUUACUACAGGUUAAUUUGUUCUUUCAUUAACAAGCAAAAUGAUACAACAGAUAAAGUUAAAAAAAUAAUUAAAUUCAAUAAGUAAUUAACUGCAUGGAAAAAUAUUGCUGUAUUCUGAAAAUCUGAAAGGACUUUGUAGGAAAAAAAUGCAUUGUGGGAAAAUUUCACAUAACAAAUGCUCUCUUUGUAAACAAAAUAUUGUUGAUAGGAGUACUGACCUCCAAGAAGAUGUCAGCCGUUGUUCAUCUCUCAUUCUUUUACUGAUCUAAAUUUAAUAUUGAUGUAAAUCUAGAUCAAGUGAUGACUGAACCCAACUGUUUGUCAUGUUAAUGCUGGGGACCUACAUCUUGCAGAAAUGUGCUAUUUUACAUCAGCACACUUCUGCAAGGCAUAGGUCAAAUAUACCACUGGGAUGAACACCAGAACCAGGUAUUUUGUAUAUCGUUCUAUAUCUUACAGCCCACAGGUCACUUCUGUCCCCUGCAUCAUUAUCUGCUAAAACUUCUGCACUUGGAAAUCUGCUGAUUCUGGAAACUUUACUAAUAGCUCAUGAGGCAGAGUAAAAUGCUGCCUCGUUCUGCUGCUUAUACAGUUUUAACAAAAGGAAGGUAAAGCUUUGCUUUGUUUCCAAAACUAGCAAAUUCAAACAAAGCUAUACAGAAAAGUAUGGUUAAUCUCUGAUGACAUUUGCACAAAUUUCAGCUGGGUUACCACAUGACCAAUUUUGUCAACAGUUACAGUACAACCAUGUUAAAAAAAAAACCAAACAUUUACUUUUUAAUUAUCAAGAUGGUGAUUAUUCAUUAUUGAGCAUUGCACACACUAUGAAUUGUAUAUGUACUGUAAUACGUGUACAUAUACACAUUAUACAUGUUACACACAUUACACGUUUUAUACAUUAAAUUGCAUUUCUGUUGUCAGUGGGAAUUGCAUGUUGGGAUCAUGUUUUUCUAUUGCCCUGCUCACUUUACCUCACCACGCUUAGAGAUGACAUGCCAGUACAGGUCUGCUCUCUUCUAUACAUAUGUUUCAAGUUGCUUUUAUGCCUGUGCUUGGCUCUAUAUUGUUUCCUUCUCCAAAAUUUUGCUAGUGUUAUUCUUUUUCAUAGCCACCUGGAGAAGAAAACAAGGGUAUAUUGAGAGUACUGUUUACUAAAAAGCUUUACCAAAACGGCCUUUUGUUUUGGCAGCAGUUCUGGUUUCAGCCAGGCUUCUGGGUCGAAGUGCAAGUCUUUGCUUUGGUUUUGUAUGUUAGAAGUAUGAAGUGCUUAUGAAGUGCCUUCCACAAAUAAAUUCUCUCUUCCCCUUCCACUUCCUCCUCUUCCUCCCCUCUUCCUUUCCCAAGUCCCACUAGCAAGUCCUUUGAGUAACUAUACAGUAUAAUUAGUACUAAUUACUACCUCCAUCUUUGCUUUGAAGGAUCAGUGUGGUUCUUGAUGACAGAAAGACAAUAUGGGAGACAGUCAUUUCAUCUAGAAGAUCAGGUCCUAGACUAGGGCGGAGAGAACCUCUACACCGAGACGUGAGGCGAGUGAAUGAGCUUGUGCGGAAAACCUAGGUCAGAGCUGAAGAGAGGGCAUUCAUUGGCAUAGUCUUUUGCAGGAUUUUAUACUGGAGUUUAUCAGAGUCUGAGUUUGGUAGCUGUUGAAACUUCAAAGAAAACAAGAAUUCAAAAUUCCUUGCUGCAUCAACAAUUUUUUUGCCUUCAAAGCAGGCAAAAGAUUUUUAUUACUCUGUUUCCUUUGGUUUUGUGUGUGUAUUGAGGAAUUAGAGUUUAUAGACUCUCAAACUAUCUGUAAAUUGUGGAAAUUCUUCCUUGUAUGGUUUGGCAAAGGUUCUGAGAAAAAAAAAAAAGCAGCAGUAGAAAGGCACUUGAUACACAUUUGUUGGCAUAACAGUAAAUAUGAACAAAACUGUUCUGGGAAACAUCUUUGAGUGGGGGAACAACAUCAAGACUAUCCACUUCACUGAGAAUUUUAAACUUAGUGACAAACUUACAGAUUUAUUUGUUUUCUGCCUUACUAAGGAAUUUCUAAGGGCUGGAGCUUCCCCUUUCAGCUGCCUUGUGAGAUUUGCUCCGCCAGUCAUCCUCUGCUGAGCAGUUCCUGAAUCCCACGUGUUCAUGGGCCAGAAAUCCUGGUCUCUUAUAUGUUUCAGCUGCACGUGGAAAUGCUUACAAACCCACUGCUGAGGAUUCUGAGCAUUGCUCAAAGCCAACUCUCCUGUCAUUUUGUGUAUGGCUUCCCUUUCCAGGGUCUUUUAUCACAAAAAGUUGAGCUUAAUGAUUUAUUUUUGGUAAAAAGUGAAGAUAAUAUUCUAGGUGUUGAAUAACCAGAACUAAUCACUUAUUUUAAACAUAGCAGGAGAAUCUAAGUCAAACAUUAGUGUUUCCUUCUUUGGAUGUGCUGUAUUUUUACUGCUCUUUUGUUCAGGCUUUCUAGCUCUGACUAUUCCUAAUUCCUUUUGCUUUAGACCUCAGCACUAAAGCUGGCUAUCUAAGGUUUACUAUUCCAUACAAAGCUAUAAUUCUCCUCAAUUACAGCUACUGACCAAGCUUACACAACUGUGAACUUUCUCAAAAGUGUCUAGAGAUGGGUAAGAGACUAGUGGUUUGUAUCAAGGUCUCAUUCAUAAUCCUCUGCUCACAGUGGCCAAAAUCUCUCUUGAUAAGGGAACUAAAGCUGCAGACUCCUAAAGACUUUUUGCAAGAGCACAUCUGGUCCAAUUCAGGGAGAAGUGGAUAUCCACAAAGAGAAAUGAGAGUUUCUGCACCACAGCAGUGCACGUAAGCAGCUGCAGGUCUGAAACUGGGUCAGUUUGUUGUAUGGGAGGAGUAUAAUCUAUGCCAUUUCCUUUUCUUUCUGUAUAGAUAUGAGCAUUUGCCCUCUCAUCCUUCCUAUAUGAUAAAGGAAAUCACAGGGGAUAUUUCUUCAAUCUCACAACCCAAGUUGCUGGGUUGUGGAAGAUCCAUAGAGGACAUCCUUAAUAAGGUCUUUGGCUCAUAUUGUAUAAAACACAGCUAAACUCAAGGCUUUAUAAAGGGCAAAGAUUAAUAAUAUGCUCUCUGAGAAAAUCUAAUUGGCAUGCUGAUACACUGAACACUACUGCCAAACUAAAUUAUUGUGGAACACAACUGCUCUAGCAAAUUAAUUUCACUUUGAGCCUCUUCUAAAAGGUAUGCCAGCAUCUUUUGAUUGAUUGACUUCUAAUGCUUUUAAAGGAGUCAUACUGCAUGCUGUUACAUGCCUAUCAUAAGCAUUGCAAGGGAGAUGGCCUUUCAAAUUUAUUUCUUGACUCUUGUCCAGUUGUUAAAGAAAGGAUUUUUUUUCAGGACCUGGUCUGCAUUGGCUAGGAAGUAGAAGAAGUAGCUCAGGAAGUAGAGUAGUUUCCUGUUUUAUUCGUAACUUGUCCCUUUACUUAUUUAACAACUUAAAGAUAUGUCAUAAAAUAAUAUAUAUUUUUUCCUUUAUUUUUGGUUAUAUUUUAGCUGUACUAAAAAGCAAUGUCCAAAAUAAGCACUGGGAGAAAUCUGUUUCUGCUACUGCUUUCUAGAGCUGUACAAGCUGUAUAGGCUCCGCUUUAUGACUGCUAAGCAGCCUUGCAACCUCCAGCCAAUUUUUACAAAACAAGUCAUCUCCAUGGCUUGAGACAUUUAUGUAAGUAUUAGAUUUAGUUGUCAGAGCAGAGUUUUGUUUACAUGAUCUAGUGAUUCGUUAUGUAUUUGUUGACAUCAGUGUUACCAAGGGAUUAGGGAUUCCAAGACACAGGGCUUCUGAUCUUCCAAGAGACAUCCUGUACAACAGUCCCUUGGGAAAGCAGAAAGGUCAACAGUAAGUUUAAGCCACUUUGAUGUACUGGUAAAUUUUCAUCUGUACUGCACUGAAACAGGACUAUGUAGUUCAGCUCAGAAGGCUGCUGAGAUUACAUAGGAUUCCUUCCUUUACAGGAGGCUCUUCUGUCUUAAAGCUGUGAUCAGGAAAAACAAAAGGUGAGGCAGAACAAGGUGUAAUAACAGUAUAAUCUCUAUGACUUAGAAAACUCAAAAUAACCACUUCUUCAUAAGUUUGAAUUGACCCGUUGUGGAAAUACAAAUAAAGUGUAACAUCCGCAAUAGUAGAACUAGUUGUACUAGUUCAGAGUAAGCUGAAAUUUAAUUAAAAAAGAAAAACAAAUGGAAAAUGGAGAAUUGUAUUGUUUGGUAAUUUAUACCUUAAAGAAUUUCAGUGGGACUGGAUGUGGUACAGCCUCCUCUGUGAGGAAGAAGCAGACAGUUCAGCCACUUCCUGAUUUCCCCUGAAAGCCAAGGUCUGCUAGGGACAGGUUGGCCCCCCUCCAGCACUACACCUCCCUUGGGUGCAUUUUUGUCUUGCAUGAGUUCUGAGAUUGGAGAAAUCCCUUGACUCGGUAGUUCAUCCCCUCCGUUGACCAGAUUUUCCUUCUUUUCUCCUUCUGUUAAAGCAGAGAUACUGUACCAGAUCACAUAAUGGUGUUCCUUGAGACAAACAUUCUGAAUCUGCAAGGGUCUGAUUAUGUCUGGACAACUUUUUUACCCUUCUGCAGGAUUGCAGGCAUGGCAGAUCUGUGCACAUUGAAUGUCUUGCUCAUAUUGUACUGCUUUGGAAUCACAGCUUACUUCCUUGGUUUGGUUUCCAAACCACAGAAGUAGUUACAGAGCAGGAAACGGGGAAAUACUCCAUGGCUUCUUACACUUGCUUUGCACAGAUCAAAAUGCUGGCGUGUGGAAGAACAACUUAUUGUCCAGAUAUUGUCCAUGGUAUACAUCCACCUUCUUCAACCACAAGUGACUUACUGUAUGCUUUUCUUAGCAAACAGCUUGAAAACAUCUGUUUUUAAGUUACCAAAAGGACAUAAAGGUUACAUAUGUGAAUCUGUAUUCUUGGGAACUGUGGGUGCACUGUGAAUCCCUCACUUGUUUCCAGGGGUGGCAAGUGCAGCCUGUUCCCUUUCACACAGAAAGAAGGGCUUUACAGGCUCUGAAAAUUACCUAGUCAGAACUGUGCAGAUCGAAGCAUAACAUGAAGGUGUUGGGUGCUUGUACCAAAGAGGAGAAGAGAGAAAAGGAGAGGAGAAGUGAAGAGUAAAGAUAAAGGAAAAGGAAAGAAGAAAAUAUAAGGUUUCUCUUUAAAACUCUCCUUUUGCUUGAGUUUUUCUCUUGUGUGCUUCCCUGGGACUUUUCCCACCUUCACAGUCAUACUAUCCAGUGAACCAGCUCAGCCACUCAUCUUCAGCUUGGCUGAAAGGGAACAAUAAACUCUUUUAAAAUAUAUUAACAGUAAGAGGAGGACCAAGGAGAAUCUCCAUUCUUUACUGGAUGCGGCUGGGAACGUGACCACCGAGGAUAAGGAAAAGGCUGAGGUUCUCAAUGCCUUCUUUAUGUCUGUCUUUAAAUGUCAGGCCAGUUAUCCUCAGGGUACUCUACUCUCUGACCUGGAAGUCUCUGAUGGGGAGCAGAAUAAACCCCCCAUGAUUCAGGAGGAAACAGUCAGAGACCAACUACUCCACCUGGACUGCCACAAGUCCAUGGGGCCAGAUGAGAUCCAUCAGAGAGUACUGAGGAAGCUGGCAGAAGAAAAGCUAGCCAAGCUGCUUUCCAUCAUCUGUCAGCGUUCCUGGUCAACUGGAGAGGUCCCAGAAGACUGGAGACUUGCCAGUGUGACUCCCAUCUACAA